AAUAAUCUUUAAUUCAUUGAUUAACUGAGCAUAUAGAAGUAUUAUACAAACCUGGUGUUGCAUUGUGUUUUUUAUAAUAAAAGUAACCUUUUCUAGCUCAAAAGAUUGUUACAUCUUGUACUAGUAGGUAAGAGACGACUAGGUGGAUAAUCAAGACACACAUUUUGUGGCUCCAUAUCCAUUUGCACUAAAUCAUCUGCUACAUAAUUAGGCUCUUUAGGACAAAGUCAAAAGGUUACUUUAGUCCGGUCGCAGCGCAUCGUCUCUUCGUUAGCGUCCCAUAGCAGCCACGUCACUGUUAAACAAAUAUGAGACGAGUUCCGCACUGCAUCGUUUCUUCUUGUUGCCCUUGCAAUAAGUUAUCUUCAGGAUUUUCUGUGCAUCCUGUUCUCUCCUCUCGGCACUGUCCUGUCCUUCCCUGCACCCUCUCUCUUCUCUUUCUCUUAGAUCUAAAAAUCUUCUCGUCACAAAUCCUUCAUUCACGUACAACCAUGGAGCUCUUUAAGGGCAAAGAUGAAUUUGUGUUGAUGUUGGGAGGGUGAGGGAGAGGCUGAUUUGAAGAUACUACUCUGCAGUCUGCGGACCACGAAUUUCGACAGAGAAAGAAUCCCAAGCUGUUCAUGGUGGCCAGCUUCGGCACUGAACCACAGCUCCCAUUUUCUCUCCCCUUCCCCCUCCUGUUAAUUUGUUUUGCUCAAAUAGAAACAACUCCUUGCGGAUUUGUGCAAGAUGGUGCUAGUGCAGAGGUCGCUCUUGGCUCUCCUCGUCGACAUGGCAGUAAAUGGUAGGUGAAGAGAAAGAAAUAGGAGAAAGCAAUAAAUAAAUUGGGAGAAGGGGCUAACGUGAUGAAGAUGACGAAGGGGAGGAGGAGCUGCGUGCAGGUGGAGAAGGAGAUGCUAUGCCGGCGAGGCGAGGCAGGAGACACUGGACUGCGGUGGAAGAAUCUCAGUCUGAUGAGAAACGAGCCAGAGGCCGCACUGGAUCAACCGCAUUAAUUGCUUU
rnacentral:lncRNA from 1 species